rnacentral:lncRNA from 1 species
UGCAGUAAGCUCUCAUUUUCAUUUGCUCCUUACAUUACCGGAUCCUAAUUAGUCGUAGCAUAAUGCUGGAUGCUCUUGUGGUUUCGUGAUGAAUCUAUGACAUAGAAAGGAAUCCAAUCAGAGAGGUCGUAGAUAAUAUACAUAUAUAUAUAUAUAUAUUCAAAUGUGGGUGUCAUAUCUGUAUUUCUUAUUUAUCCAUUCGUCACCUUUGCUUCUGUCUGUCGCGGUCAUGGAACGAGUUUUUUACUGCCCUGGCCUUGGUUGUGGUCGUUUUCCUUUACCUUCAGUUUUGUAUCAUUAGAAAGUGAAAAAUCUAAAUAUGUAUUGAAUCUCACUGGGAAUUUUUAUGACCCAUUUGUAUGUUAUGAAGCAAUGCACAGCUCUUCUGAUUGAUUCUUGGAAGUUUGGAAACAAUACUGUUUUGGUCUGUCUUAUGAAAAUGAGUUUCAGAUUUGGC